rnacentral:misc_RNA from 1 species
AAAUGGAAGAUGUGGUUUCUGGCAUAGGUAAUGAUCUCAGGAAUGGGCAUGUUGGAAUUAGACCCACGCGGAAAACUGUUAGGAGUAGGGAUUAGAAAGUUAGGUGUGUUGGUAGAGGAAGAUCCUGUCAUAAGAACAAGGGGAUAGCUGGAAACAGAGUUUAUGAGGUGGACUUUUUUGGGUCUGGAGAGGAUAUCAGGGAUUAAGUUGUGUUUUCCUUUGAUGUGUUG